rnacentral:rRNA from 1 species
UGACCUCCAAUCAGGUAGGACUACCCGCUGAACUUAAGCAUAUCAAUAAGCGGAGGAAAAGAAACUAACAAGGAUUCCCCUAGUAACUGCGAGUGAAGCGGGAAAAGCUCAAAUUUAAAAUCUGGCGGUCUCUGGCUGU